AAUGAUUUCGUGGUCGUGGACACGAGUACGAAGCUUAGAGGAGUGUGGAAUUAGUUCGAACGAUUUUAUUUUGAAAACUGAACGUUUUAGGGGGGUCAAAGGAGUUGACUUUUUAUACAUUGGGAAAUUGGGAAAACUUCCUUCAUGAAAGUUGUAGAGCGCGUCGAUACGAGUUCGUGGACAUAUGGAACGUAAUAUUCGGAGUUCGUAUGAAUAAGUUACGAAUAUUUGAAAAUUGGGAUUUUCUAUAAAUAUGAAAAAAAAUCCGAAUAUUGCAAAUGAGGACAGAAUUUCUGGAACUCCAGAAAUUUCUCCCCAUUUCUCUCCCGAGCCCAGCCGCGACCCCCUCCCUUCGUCACCUUCGUUCUUCCUCAUCCGGCCACCGAUUGAUGUGAAACAAAGUGGGUUUUUCUGGUCUCGACCCCCUUUACGAGUUUGUAGAAGAAAUCGAAGUGAAAUACGAGCUGUAUGAGGCUCUACAAGGUCGAGAAGAGAGCCUCGUCGGAGACGAAAUCGCUCUUCCCCACUUUUUCUGGGCUCUACUUUGUCUGGCCAUAUCUUCCUCUACAGGCCUCCGAUCGACCUGAUUCCAAAAGCAAUUUUUCUCACCGUGAAGUUUUCUACAACUUUCCAGAAGACAUCGACUUGAGAUAACCAUCGUGGUGGCCGCUAGAAGACCGAGAAGCCGCACAGCCGAGCUGGAAAUCGUCUUCCUUCGCCACCUUGGUUCUCCCAGCUCCGGCCACUAUAGCUCGAGUUCUUUGAGGGCUUUUCUAGCCCAGAGGAAGUAGAAGCUAUCCCCAAGAAGGCUUGCAGCGAUUUGAUCCGGGGUGAUCGAAUUUUGAAGAUUGGGAAACUAGGGUUCUUCGGGUUUCAAAACUUGCGAGGUGAUUGACGGUCUCCCUUGGGUGAACGAUUUCGGUGUGUAUUGUGUUGAAUUGAAGACGCAGCGGGAAUAUCGAGCGGGUAAUCCUGCAGGUCAGGAGAAUCAGGACGGUGAUCGUGCGGGUUAGAGAAUUUGUUUUAGUUUUACAGCAAUUGUAAUUGUGAGGUGAGUUAUGCUCAUUUGAGCCUUACAAUAUAAUUUGGUGAGAGUGUGCUGUAAUAAACAAAUUUGAGAUUUGGUUUAUGUAAUAUCGAGCGAUGUGAGGUGUGGUUGUUUUGAGAAAAAAUUCAGGUUGUAUUUAUGUGAGUUGUAUUAAUUCAUGUUUCGGAUUUGGAUUUGUUAUUCAAAAUCCGGGGCGUGACAAU